GGGGUAAUAGCUCAGUGGUAGAGCUCAUGCUUAGCAUACCUGAGGUCCUGGGUUCAAUCCCCAGUACCUCCA
rnacentral:tRNA from 1 species